CCUUUAUCAGUGAUCUGGAUGAGUGAACCAAGUGCACCAUCACAUAUAAUUUACAGUAAAAACACAGGAAGCUGAAUGAUUUCCUCUGAGGAAAGUACCUGACAAAGAGGUGAACGAGUGAAGUCACCAGGCCCUUUGACUUCAUCGUUACCCAUGGCUCCUCAGUGGUUUCAGACAGAGACGCUAUCUUGCAGAGACACCUUUGAAGUGGUUUUGCCAGAUCAUGGCAGGUGGGAGGCACACGAGGCCUGAGUUUUUCCCUGUGGCAAUCCAAGCACGGGGAGUCCUGAGCUUGUGAAUAACACCAGCUAUUAUUUACGUUGCAUGUUGCACACCAAAAAAAAACCCUCUCAACCAUUAACAGGCUGUGACCAGAGGUUGUUCUGCACACAGUGCAUGGGCUUCAGAGGUUCCUUGCUUAUCCAGAGGCUGGGCAGUUUGAGGCUGACUCCUGGGGGCUGCAGUGGGGGACCCAGGCAGGGGGAGGCAGCCUGCAAGCUCCUGUCCCUACGGCACAGCCAGGGCUGCCGUUUGAAGUCCAUCUCCUCCAUCCCUCUCUGCAGUCUUCUGAGAAGCCAAGUUGGAGAAGCAAAACACCAGCACUAAGGAAUGGGACUUGGACCUCCUGUGUUGCAAGGUCCCUUUGAAAAGCUCAGCCCAAACUUUUGCGGUUUCAGACGUCCUGAAGCGGCAUUUUUACCCGAAAAAAAUGUAUCUUCAAUGUAACUUAAAAGGGCACAAGUGAGUAACACUUCAGAUAUCAUCUCAAUGAGACCAUGAGUUCCCCACACUUUAAAAGUGACUAAAACUCAAGUGGGUUUUUCAGUGUGCAUGUGACUAAAUGCAGGAGUAGAAGGGUUGAGAGACAGACAGAGAUUGUAAACUUGGGAGAACAUCACCCUCUUUGUUUGACUGUAAUGCAAUAACCUCCUCUUUUUUUCUUCUCCAACUCCUACUACCUCCAGAAAACCUUCCUUUAAAUUGCAGAUGUGUUGAAAUGAUUGCAUGUGCUUAUAUUUUCCUGCUCCAUCCUCCACUUGGGAUGUCGUUUACACUGCAAAAUGAAAUAGAACUGAUUCAUUUUGCAGAAGGAACAUGAUUGAUACAAGCCCGGAUGGAGACUCAUUCUCAGCUCUGUGGAAAUUCCUCACCAAGGUUGCUAGUCAAGUGAAAACCUCUUCACUGUGGAGUCAUCAGGGUUGUGUUGCUACUCCUAAACUUCUUGGGCUGGAGCCAGAAAAAGCUUGUGAGCAGUCUGCCUGUAGCUCCUGAUGAAUUGCAGAGAAGAACAGCAACCAGCCAAGCAUCGUCUCAGCAAUCCCAGCUGUAUUCCAUAGGUCUGUGUCAUCUUGUCCACAUUCCUGGAAGGCAGAAGUACG